GACGAACGCUGGCGGCGUGCUUAACACAUGCAAGUCGAACGAAGCGGCGAACGGGUGAGUAAUACGUGGGUAACCUGCCCUCAUAUUGGGGAUAAGCCUUGGAAACGGGGUCUAAUCCCGAAAAAAGGGGGAUGGGCUCGCGGCCUAUCAGCUGGUUGGUGGGGCGUUGCCCUACCAAGGCGGUGAAGGGUGGCUGGCCUGAGAGGGUGAACGGCGACAUUGGGACGGAGAUGCGGCCCAGACUCCUACGCGAUGCAGCAGUGGGGGAUAUUGCACAAUGGGCGAAAGCCUGAUGCAGCGACGCCGCGGGGGGGAUGAAGGCUGUCGGGUUGUAUACCUCUUUCGCUAGGGAACGGGUAGGUGGAGAAGAAGCGCCGGCUAACUACGUGCCAGCCGCCGCGGUAAUAC
rnacentral:rRNA from 1 species